UACGGAGGGUGCAAGCGUUGUCCGGAUUUAUUGGGUUUAAAGGGUGCGUAGGCGGCGUAGUAAGUCCGUGGUGAAAGCCAACAGCUCAACUGUUGAACUGCCAUGGAUACUGCUAGGCUUGAGUACAGACGAGGUAGGCGGAAUGGGUAGUGUAGCGGUGAAAUGCAUAGAUACUAUCCAGAACACCGAUUGCGAAGGCAGCUUACUAGACUGUAACUGACGCUGAGGCACGAAAGCGUGGGGAGCGAACAG
rnacentral:rRNA from 1 species